UCAAAAGCAGGCUGCAAAUUUUGCUGUUUAGGAGAACUGUUUGGUCUCUAAGGUUGACAGUUUUAUUGCCCUUAAAUUCCUGGAGUGAGAGUCAGUGGCCUGCAGCUGCAGCUUAUCUCGUGAACAGAGACUGAAUGUGAACUGUUUUCAUUCUGCCAGAGUUUCCUGUGUUCAGCGGCUUAACCCUGCACAGCGUGGACCGCGACAUUCCUCCUUCCUCCUAAUUCAACCAUGAAUCCAUCAGGACCUGGGCUUUUCUUUGUUGGCCCUCAGCUGAUUGGAUGGUACCUGCUCACAAUGGAUGAGGAUAGAUGUUUUUCCUUCAGUCCACUGAUUCAAAUGCCAGUCUCUUCUGGACACGGCUAACAGAAGCAUCCAGAAAUAAUGCUUUACCUCUCUCAAUGUAUCUUUUAUACUGAUCAAGUUGAUACCUAAAAUUAACCAUGAUAAUAGCUUUCUCUAUACUCUCAUUUACUUAUAGGUUUGCCCAAUUUAUCUGAAGUACAAUUCCUCUCACUUCUAUGAGUUAGAAAAUAUUUUGAUGUCAGUUUUAUGCCUUUUAACAUCUUUAGAUGUGGAUGUGCAGCUAGGAAUUGAAAAACGAGUGCUUAAUAUCAAUAAGGGAAAUAUUAGUAUUACUGACAGGUAUUCUAUUUAAAACAGUAAAAAAUAUUAAUUUUAUUAAAUUUCAAACCUUGUGCAUACCUCCUUUAACUUUCUAUUAUGAAAUAAGAAAUCCACCUAAGCCUAACUUUUGUAUUGCUCAGAUUUUGCUAUUUUCAAAGGAUGAGGUGAAUAAAUUAUACCUGUGUAUCUAAAGCAGCU